rnacentral:rRNA from 1 species
GACGAACGCUAGCGGCAGGCCUAACACAUGCAAGUCGAGGGGUAGCAGGGACUUCGGUCCGCUGACGACCGGCGCACGGGUGCGUAACGCGUAUACAACUUACCUUUGAGAGGGGGAUAGCCCAGAGAAAUUUGGAUUAAUACCCCAUAGUCUUAUUGAGUCGCAUGGCUUAAUGAGUAAACGUUCCGGCGCUCAAAGAUGGGUAUGCGUAUGAUUAGCUAGUUGGUGAGGUAACGGCUCACCAAGGCUACGAUCAUUAGCUGGUCUGAGAGGAUGAUCAGCCACACGGGAACUGAGACACGGUCCCGACUCCUACGGGAGGCAGCAGUGAGGAAUAUUGGUCAAUGGGGGCAACCCUGAACCAGCCAUGCCGCGUGCAGGAUGACGGCCCUCUGGGUUGUAAACUGCUUUUAUGUGGGACUAAUAAGGGGCUAUACGCCCAGAUGC